CCGACCCGCUUUGUAUAUCCCAGCCCAUCAAGUCUCCAAUAGGGUUUGCAAAUAAAUUUCGCCCAACUCCAGCCAUCGCGGCCAUUGUGCAAAUAUCUGACUGCCAUCAUAUCGCUAGGAGAGAACGGUGGAGACUAGGGUUUGUCACUGAAUCACCAUGAGAGCUAAGUGGAAGAAGAAGCGCAUGAGGAGGUUGAAGAGAAAGCGACGAAAGAUGAGGCAGCGAUCUAAGUAACCUACUGGCUUUUCCAAUAGCGUGGCUGGCUCUCUCCGCGUCGUCAUGUUUCUUUUCCUUUCGAGUUUUUAUGUUGUUAGGUUUUUGGCUUGUCAAGGACGUUUGGCUAUGGUUUUAUUUUCAAUCGAAUGAAUUUGUAGCCAGAUUUUGCGAUUAUUGCCCUCAAUGAAUUUUAAGCGAUAUUGAUACAAUUUGUUUCUGUUUAAAUCAUCUGGGUAUCGUUUUGGGUUCUCACUUGUAUAAUCAUUCUUAUGCCUUCACUUUUUGAUGCGUUUGCCUUGAAUGCGAAAUUGCUCUGAGAUUUUAUCUUCUUGCACGCAAACGAAUUGUUCUGGAAAGUGGCAAAAUCUCCGAUGCCAAGGAUUAUGGCUUGUUUGUGAGUAUGAUGUGGUGUUGGUGUUUGGAUUUUUUUUCCAUUUUGAGUAAUAAUUUUCGGGGAUGCUAAUGUCUCAUUGAGUGACCAGUGCUCUUGAUUAGGUCUCUCUCUCUCUUAUCUCUCUCGGGUCAUGCGAGUGUUUCUUAUGUAGAGGUGGAUCAUCUAGGUUCUAAACUCAAAAGCGUGAGAUUGAUUAGUGUGCUUACAAUUAAGCAUGGAAAUGUAAAAGGGCCUUCUUCCACAGAGACUUAAAAAAUUUGGAUGUUUUGUAGAAAUUUGCAUAUGUCAUCACCUUAAUUACUUGGUUUAAAAUAAACAACUGCAGAAAGAGCAUCCCUGUUAAAGUCUUGAUUCUUUCUGAUUUAAAUUGAUUUUAGCUUUAUGUUUGUUUCAUUUGUAGGCGAUAUAACCUGCUUAGCAAAUUAGAUCUAAAAUAAGUUCAUACUAAUAACAAUGCGACAUUUAUUCGGUUUCAUGUUUUUAAGCAUUGAAGUGCACUCAAGCAAACACUAUGUUGUAUGAAUAUGGGUGGAUAAUGCAAGCAUAACUUGAUAAGGCCGCAUGGUGGCAUAACUUGUCAGGCACACACCAAUCAUCUGUAAUGGGCUAGGUGUUUUGGAAAUUUAAUAUGGUUGGAGGAUGGGAAAAAAGUAGAACAAAGUUUGGUAUGGGAAUACAGUGAAGUCAUCGUGCAUUGUUUCACAUCCAUCUCAUUCCUAUUUCAGUCUGACUCUUUGGUGACCCUUAGAUUCUAAUGUUCCUCUGCUAGUUUUUUGCUAAGGCACAUGGUUUUGUUGAAGUUACUUUGGUACGAUCAGUUCGCACUUCACCUAUUGAUUUUGCUUACUAAAUGUAUGAAGUCGUGCUUUAUGGAUGGAACUCGCAAAUUUAUAUGGUGGUAGGGCGCGCACACUUCAUUUUGUACAAAUAAUUGUUUUUGGGUCUACAACACUUACAGGUUCGCUGGAACCUUCACCUUAUAGGCACUAAGAAUAACCUCUCUGCUAAACUAGUCUACAAUUACCCUUUGUACUAGUAAUUUGCAAUAAGGUAGUCUUUCACCCUACAUACUGUUAGAUCCUUUGUUUUCUAGCAAAGUGCUAUUGUUUUUGUUGACAAGUUCCAACCUUCCGUAGUUCUUCAAAUGCAUGCUUGGUUUCUGCAUCAAAGCCACCUGCAAACUGAAAAAGCUUUUUGUUAUUAGAACAGGUCGAGGGAAGAUUUCUAUACAAAGGUCUUGUCUACCUGGUGUACUCGAAAAGCAAAUCGAACACCUUGUAGCAGAAGGUCUUCUUGUGAAGAUUCAUUGUUCUGCAGUUCUUUGGCUACCCUUCUCAUGUAUGCCUUUGUCAAUGUCAGUGAACUUAGCUUCAUCUGUAAGUAAGUGCCAACAAGUUCAUAGCAAUAUACUUGAGGUAGUGAGAGUCUUUAUUGACAGAUAAAAUGCAGAUUUUUUUUAUGAGCGAUUAGGAAGGUUGGAUUUAAAUUGGCAAUGGUCAAGGGAUUAUGCAAAACAUGUUAUUGAAUGAUGAGUGGACAUGGCAUACCCUAAACGUAACAGAUUGCUGUUUGAAAUUUGCUUGGUAAUGUAGCAGAUCUCACUAACUUAUUAUACAAUUGGUGGUAAGGUGGUAUUUUCAGCCAAGCCUACAUGCUUCACAAUAAAACUCAUCAAAGUACCACCUACCUGCCCAAUCAGACCACCGUCUAGCAUCCAUCCACAAGGGAUACAGAACUCCCGAUAUCUUUUGCUGAACUUCCUUUCAUGA